GGUUAAGUUACUAAGGGCACACGGUGGAUGCCUUGGCGCUAGGAGCCGAUGAAGGACGCAGCGAACUGCGAUAAGCCUCGGGGAGCGGUAAGCACGCGUUGAUCCGGGGAUCUCCGAAUGGGGGAACCCACCAUCCGUAAUGGGAUGGUAUCCGUCACUGAAUCCAUAGGUGGCGAGAAGGCACACCCGGUGAACUGAAACAUCUAAGUAGCCGGAGGAAGAGAAAACAACAGUGAUUCCGUCAGUAGUGGCGAGCGAACGCGGAAGAGCCUAAACCGCAGGGUUUACUCUGCGGGGUCGUGGGACGUCUCACGUGGAGUUACAAAAGACACCUGUAGGUGAACGGUCUGGGAAGGCCGACCAGAGAGCGUGACAGUCGCGUAACCCAAACAGGUGUCUCUCCGAGACGGAUCCCGAGUAGCACGGGACACGUGAAAUCCCGUGUGAAUCUGGCAGGACCAUCUGCUAAGGCUAAAUACUCCCUAGCGACCGAUAGCGAACCAGUACCGUGAGGGAAAGGUGAAAAGCACCCCGGGAGGGGAGUGAAAUAGUACCUGAAACCGUGUGCUUACAAAUAGUCGGAGCCCGUUACAUGGGUGACGGCGUGCCUUUUGUAGAAUGAACCGGCGAGUUACGGUAGCGUGCGAGGUUAAGUCGAAGAGACGGAGCCGCAGCGAAAGCGAGUCUGAACAGGGCGAGAGUACGUUGCCGUAGACCCGAAACCGUGUGAUCUAGCCAUGUCCAGGGUGAAGGUAGGGUAACACCUACUGGAGGCCCGAACCCACGCACGUUGAAAAGUGCGGGGAUGAGGUGUGGCUAGCGGUGAAAUUCCAAUCGAACUCGGAGAUAGCUGGUUCUCCCCGAAAUAGCUUUAGGGCUAGCCUCGGAAUGAGAGUCUUGGAGGUAGAGCACUGAUUGGGCUAGGGGCCCUCAUCGGGUUACCGAACUCAGUCAAACUCCGAAUGCCAAUGACUUAUGUCCGGGAGUCAGACGAUGAGUGCUAAGAUCCAUCGUCAAAAGGGAAACAGCCCAGACCAUCAGCUAAGGUCCCCAAGUGUACGUUAAGUGGGAAACGAUGUGGAGUUGCCCAGACAACCAGGAUGUUGGCUUAGAAGCAGCCACCAUUUAAAGAGUGCGUAAUAGCUCACUGGUCGAGUGACUCUGCGCGGAAAAUGUAACGGGGCUAAACGUACCACCGAAGCUAUGGCAGUCCUACGGACUGGGUAGGGGAGCGUUCCAAGCAGCGGCGAAGCCGUACCGGAAGGAGCGGUGGAGCGCUUGGAAGUGAGAAUGCCGGUGUAAGUAGCGAAAAGACAAGUGAGAAUCUUGUCCACCGAAAGCCUAAGGGUUCCUGGGGAAGGCUCGUCCUCCCAGGGUUAGUCGGGACCUAAGCUGAGGCCGAAAGGCGUAGGCGAUGGACAACAGGUUGAUAUUCCUGUACCACCUCCAUUCCGCUUGAGCAAUGGCGUGACGCAGGAGGAUAGGGCGAGCGGCCUGCUGGAUGGCCGUCCAAGCAGCAAGCCUGGUGUGUAGGCAAAUCCGCACACCGCCAAGGGCAAGCUGUGAUGGCGAGGGAAAUGCAAGUACCGAAGUCCCUGAUUUCACACUGCCAAGAAAAGCGUCUAGCGAGGAGUGAGGUGCCCGUACCGCAAACCGACACAGGUAGGCGAGGAGAGAAUCCUAAGGUGCGCGGGAGAACUCUUGCUAAGGAACUCGGCAAAAUGGCCCCGUAACUUCGGGAGAAGGGGCGCCCCGGUAGGGUUAACAGCCCGAGGGGGCCGCAGUGAAAAGGCCCAAGCGACUGUUUAGCAAAAACACAGGUCUCUGCGAAGCCGCAAGGCGAAGUAUAGGGGCUGACGCCUGCCCGGUGCUGGAAGGUUAAGGGGAUGAGUUAGCGCAAGCGAAGCUUUGAACCGAAGCCCCAGUAAACGGCGGCCGUAACUAUAACGGUCCUAAGGUAGCGAAAUUCCUUGUCGGGUAAGUUCCGACCCGCACGAAAGGCGUAACGACUUGGGCGCUGUCUCGGCAAGAGACCCGGUGAAAUCAUAAUACCUGUGAAGAUGCAGGUUACCCGCGACAAGACGGAAAGACCCCAUGGAGCUUUACUGUAGCCUGAUAUUGGACUUUGGUACGAUCUGUACAGAAUAGGUGGGAGCCUGGGAAGCCGGUGCGCCAGCAUCGGUGGAGGCGCCGUUGGGAUACCACCCUGAUCGUAUCGGAGUUCUAACCCGCGGCCCUGAUCGGGUCGGGGAACAGUGUCAGGUGGGCAGUUUGACUGGGGCGGUCGCCUCCUAAAAGGUAACGGAGGCGCCCAAAGGUUCCCUCAGAAUGGUCGGAAAUCAUUCGUAGAGUGUAAAGGCAGAAGGGAGCUUGACUGCGAGACCUACAAGUCGAGCAGGGACGAAAGUCGGGCUUAGUGAUCCGGUGGUUCCGCAUGGAAGGGCCAUCGCUCAACGGAUAAAAGCUACCCUGGGGAUAACAGGCUUAUCUCCCCCAAGAGUCCACAUCGACGGGGAGGUUUGGCACCUCGAUGUCGGCUCAUCGCAUCCUGGGGCUGAAGUAGGUCCCAAGGGUUGGGCUGUUCGCCCAUUAAAGCGGUACGCGAGCUGGGUUCAGAACGUCGUGAGACAGUUCGGUCCCUAUCUGUCGCGGGCGCAGGAAGUUUGAGGAGAGCUGUCCUUAGUACGAGAGGACCGGGAUGGACGCACCGCUGGUGCACCAGUUGUUCCGCCAGGAGCACAGCUGGGUAGCUAUGUGCGGACGGGAUAAGCGCUGAAAGCAUCUAAGCGUGAAGCCCCCUCCAAGAUGAGACUUCCCACAGCGUCAAGCUGGUAAGACCCCUCAAAGACGAUGAGGUUGAUAGGUUCGGUGUGGAAGCGCGGCAACGCGUGGAGCUGACGAAUACUAAUCGGUCGAGGACUUAUCCAC
rnacentral:rRNA from 1 species